UGCCCCGAAGCUCAACGUUAGCGCUGCUAAUUUAGAAACGGAAGACCCGAAGGAGGACAACCAAUGGUCUGGUGCUGCUGAUCUUGAAAGGGAAGAAUCAAGGAAGGACAACUGAUGGUCCGAGAUGCCUUGUAAGGAGAGGAGGUCGAAAGAAAAACAAAAGGAGCUGCAUGAGGCUGCGAAAGGCAGUGGAUCACUCACCAGCUGGAUCACAAAGAGCACAAAAGAUGGCCAGGGAGUGAGUCAUGACAGGUCAGAUGAGGAGACGGAAGGAGAGAAACAGUAAGGGACUGCCUCCUAACAAAGAUAUGAGGUGUGUCGUAUGUUGUGAUUUUAUGUUUCAUUCUUUAAGAAUAUCUGCUGCUACAUUUCACCCAGGUAUAUUGUAGGUAUGUUUCUGUAUGGUGUUUAUGGUGUUUCAAAUUCGUGCUCCAUGUGCCCCCCUUUGAACUUUGAGCACCUGCCCCUCCAAAGGUCUCUGCACGGCGCUGACAAAUAGCUAGUUUCGUGAAUGUGCACCUCGCACUGCGCGUCUCAUAUUGAGUGAAUGGAAACAAAAUGGCGUCAAAUCCCCAGUUGUCGCUACUCUGAUAAUAUAGGGACUCUACCAAGAGCAAGCCAACAGCGACACCCAGUGUUAUAGAUGUGGAAUGGACACUCACACAGCAGAUGAAUGUGGAGCCAAGACAGCAAAAUCUGUACUUGCACUGGGGAAAAUUAGCCACUGUGGCUAAAGUGCUAGAAUUUUGUUUAGCCACAUUUAGCCACACUUUUUCAGUAGCCUAUCUGUACUGCGGCGCGCGAAGUUGUGGACAAAAGACAAGACAGUUGAGGACAUCAUCUUGGGCUUUGGGAAAUACUGAUACAAUAUAUUUUUCACCCUUUUCUGACAGUUUAUAGAACAAAUAAUUAAUUAAUCAAUUGAGAAAGUAAUGGACAGAUUCAAAAACAAUGAA